AACAUAAGUGUUGCAACAUAGCCGGAACAGGGCCCCGACAUACCCAUAAUGUCUAUAACAAAAAUUGCAUACCAAGACCAAGGCAAGUCUGGAGAAGGGAUCUCGCCAAUCACCGUUGAACUGGACAGUCUACUGUGGUGGGGGAGCUGCACCUGCCUGUCUAUCAGGACCUGCAGCACGACAUGUAACGUCCACAAAUAAAAGGACGUCAGUACGAAUAAAGUACUGAGUAUGUAAGGCAAGGAACCAUAAAUACGAUUAGUAAUGUAAGCAAGGAUAGAGAAUAUACAAAAUGUAACAUCUUAGUACCUCUGAGGGCCACUUACAUGAAAUGCAUGAUACAUAUGUAUAAAUACAUAAACCUUUAAAGCAUUCGCCUCUGUGGGCGGCAUCAUCAUCAUAUCGUACCCGGCCAUAAUAGGCUCGGUAGAAUCGUACCCGGCCAUGUGGAGCUCGGUAAAACCCAACUGAUCAGUGGUUGCACAAUAGGUACCGUACUCGGCCAACUAUAGCGUGGCUCGGUAGAGUAAAAUAGAUACAUAUAUAUAAUGCAUGCUCGACUCAUGGAAUCACAUUCUAAACCUUUCGGAGUGACGUAAGGUCGGUAUCCUCUGUACACGUUAUUAGGACUAACUCUUCACUAUGAACCUUAUAAGAAUCAGGAAGUACCAACAACAUUGAUAACAUAAGACUAAGAGAAGCAACAUUAACAUCAAUCUUUCCAUAAGAGGGAAAACAAUGUAAGUACUGCUAGCUUCUAAGAGUAGAGUAUCUUGGAAGAUUGUUCAUUACAUUAUGUACAAUCGGAGUCGUGCAAAAGAAGGAAAGGGAUAGCCUCACAUACCUUGUAUAUACUGCCCCAAUCUCAAGCUAUGCAAUUGUCAAAAUUCCUUAGUCUACAAUAAGAGAAACGAUACUAUCGUUAUCAUUUAAGCAUCAUAACUAUUAUGUAUCGACCACAACCUAUUUUACGAUGAAACGGACAGAACCUCCCCUAUAUAUAUGACCUCACACCAUUCAAAACAGUCACCAAACAACCCAAACAACAUCAAUAAUAAACAUAUUGAGCCUCCCAAAAUAGUUCACACACAGCCUAAUCACUCCAUACAUACGACGACCACCGUAGUCGUGUCAAACAACCUGGAAAUAUUACGAAUAACUAUCAGCCCAUAAACCUACAUAUAUAUGGUGUUUCUCCACACCCUUCCUCCUCCAAAACUCCACAAGAUAGUAGUAAAAUACGCAGCCCAACAACAAUGCAAAACAGUCCACAAAACAAUAACAUUACUACCAAGCCUUUCGAUAUAUAUCUCACAAGUUCUAGCUUCAAUGGCUUAGCCGCAACUUGGAUAAUCUUAAAUACAUAUAGAGUAAGAGGUUCCUUACCUUUAUACAGAAAGAAAAACUCCAAUUUGACCUUAAAUUUCC
rnacentral:lncRNA from 1 species